GCACGCAUCACACACACACACACGGUGUCGUUGUGUCCAUUCACUUCUAUUGCAAGUUGACACAAAGCAGCCGUUUUUCUGGGGCCAAUUAAUGUGCAAAACGUUGUGGAAACUUCACUUUGGUUCAAGUUCUCAGUCUUUAUGGGUUCCUACCUCAACGAAAGACUGCAUUAUUGAACGUCACGUCUGUUGGUCGUGUGCUUUUGUCGAGCGAAACUCCGAUGGUGAGCCAGAAUUGGGAUCAGCACAAUAGAAGUCACGCUCACACACACGUGGAGGGUGUGACGUCAGCGACCGCUUCAUCUGGAAAGAAUACAACCAUCCCUUCAAACAGAUCAAACAGAAUUAAUCCAGGUUUUCCUUGCGGACCCAGCAGUCGGUGGGGAACUCCUCCAGCAUGGGCACAAAGUACUGGAUGCAACCGUUCCAGUGGCACAGCAGGAAGAUCAUCAUGAAGAGCGAGAGCACGCGGAAAAACAGACGCACCACCUCCAGAAGCGGACCAGCCUGGACACCCGGGCCAGUCGGAUCAGGCUGAGGAUGCGCACAAACAUGAGGAUCCUCAUCAUCCUGGUGGUCUUGGAAGGGUUGUCGUCAUUGUGGUAGUGUAAGCCCUAUCACACACACGCACAUGCACACACACACACACAGUCAUCUUAUUACACUUUGUCAUCUUAUUUUUAGGCCCACAACAACAAAAAAGCACUUCUGCAAUCUAAUAAUGUGCUUUAUUACCGCAAACAGCAGUAUGUAGCCGAUAGGGAAGGCGGCAAUAACGUCGGGAAUGAACCAUGUCCUCAGGUAGCUCACUCGGAUCUGCUUGAUGUCCAGAAUAGCUUCCUGAGACACACAGAAGAGCGGCAGCAUGACUCAGCACAUUUAUUUUUACAUUUUCAUAAGCUUGCAUACAAUAAAGCAGAUGUGUCCAAACUU